GGAUGUGAGGGCGAUCUGGCUGCGACAUGGGUCCCCUCAUUGAUCGCCAGGGUUGAUUCGGCUGAUCUGGCUGGCUAGGCGGUGGCCCCUUCCUCCCUCACCGGGCCAUGUGCGUCCCUCCCCAAGCUGCGCGCUAGAUUGGUCGAAGAGGGCGACCACCCCCGAUAGAGGAGGACCUUUUGGAUAAAUGAAAACUGUGUGCCCACGCAGAAAUGUGUACAUGAAUACUGCACAUUUCUGUGUAAAGACACAUUUUUCGUUCCUCUUGGGUAUAUCUAUCUGACCUGGGAAUAGAA
rfam:Heterocephalus glaber contig57389, whole genome shotgun sequence.